rnacentral:rRNA from 1 species
UACGUAGGUGGCAAGCGUUAUCCGGAAUUAUUGGGCGUAAAGAGCGCGCAGGUGGUUGAUUAAGUUUGAUGUGGAAGCCCACGGCUUAACCGUGGAGGGUCAUUGGAAACUGGUCGACUUGAGUGCAGAAGAGGGAAGUGGAAUUCCAUGUGUAGCGGUGAAAUGCGUAGAGAUAUGGAGGAACACCAGUGGCGAAGGCGGCUUCCUGGUCUGUAACUGACACUGAGGCGCGAAAGCGUGGGGAGCAAACAGGAUUAGAUACCCU